AGAGAGGUCAAAGUCUGAGAUUUUUUCUUUUAUUUAUUUAUUUAUUUUAUUUAUUUAUUUAUUAAUUUUUUUUUCGUUUUUCGUUUUUUUUAAUCAUUUUUUUCUUUUUUUUCGUUUGCAUAACACGUGGGCUUCGCCUAGCGAGCAUGACAGCUCAUGAACAAACCUUUGCUCCUUCAAGAUUAACGUUUUUACUGACGAAUAGACCCCUGUUGGAAGUAACUAAAGUCUUUCCCUUGUGUUGACUGAUCAUCUAAAUAUAACCCACAAAGUGUC
rnacentral:lncRNA from 1 species